AAACUUAAAGGAAUUGACGGGACCCGCACAAGCGGUGGAUGAUGUGGUUUAAUUCGAUGCAACGCGAAAACCUUACCCACCUUUGACAUGGCAGGAAUCCCGAAGAGAUUUGGGAGUGCUCGAAAGAGAACCUGCACACAGGUGCUGCAUGGCUGUCGUCAGCUCGUGUCGUGAGAUGUUGGGUUAAGUCCCGCAACGAGCGCAACCCUUGCCAUUAGUUGCUACGAAAGGGGCACUCUAAUGGGACUGCCGGUGACAAACCGGAGGAAGGUGGGGAUGACGUCAAGUCCUCAUGGCCCUUAUAGGUGGGGCUACACACGUCAUACAAUGGCCGGUACAGAGGGUAGCCAACCCGCGAGGGGGAGCCAAUCCCACAAAGCCGGUCGUAGUCCGGAUCGCAGUCUGCAACUCGACUGCGUGAAGUCGGAAUCGCUAGUAAUCGCGGAUCAGCAUGCCGCGGUCGAAUACGUUCCGGGCCUU
rnacentral:rRNA from 1 species